AUGUUCACUAUGAGUACUGCUGUCUUGAUAAGUACACCAAUGGGGUUUUCUGCACAUAUUUUUCCACCAGGAAGUUCUUUGGCAAGAUACGUUGGAGUCCCUCUGGCCAUGGAGUUUUUUCUAAUCUUCCAUCUUAUCAUCUGUUACAACUUCAUUGCAAAAGGUGUGAAAGAGAGGGAAAUUAAGUUGGUAAAUAUUUCGAAGCCAAGUUUCUAA
rnacentral:lncRNA from 1 species